AGCGAACGCUGGCGGCAGGCCUAACACAUGCAAGUCGAACGAAGCCUUCGGGCUUAGUGGCGGACGGGUGAGUAACACGUGGGAACGUACCUUUUGGUUCGGAACAACUCAAGGAAACUUGAGCUAAUACCGUAUGAGCCCUUAGGGGGAAAGAUUUAUCGCCGAAAGAGCGGCCCGCGUUAGAUUAGCUAGUUGGUGAGGUAAAGGCUCACCAAGGCAACGAUCUAUAGCUGGUCUGGGAGGAUGAUCAGCCACACUGGGACUGAGACACGGCCCAGACUCCUACGGGAGGCAGCAGUGGGGAAUCUUGCGCAAUGGGCGAAAGCCUGACGCAGCCAUGCCGCGUGAAUGAUGAAGGUCUUAGGAUUGUAAAAUUCUUUUACCAGGGACGAUAAUGACGGUACCUGGAGAAAAAGCCCCGGCUAACUUCGUGCCAGCAGCCGCCGUAAUAC
rnacentral:rRNA from 1 species